rnacentral:rRNA from 1 species
UCCACCAGCCAUACUACCUGCAGUCCAGACUAGGUAAUCCAUCUGAAACUAAGCAGGUUUGGGCCUGGCCAGUACUUGAGUGGGAAACCAACUAGGAAUGCUGGGUUGUUGCUAGAA